rnacentral:rRNA from 1 species
GAGUUUGAUCCUGGCUCAGGAUGAACGCUGGCGGCGUGCUUAACACAUGCAAGUCGAACGGGAAAUACUUUAUUGAAACUUCGGUGGAUUUAAUUUAUUUCUAGUGGCGGACGGGUGAGUAACGCGUGGGUAACCUGCCUUAUACUGGGGGAUAACAGCCAGAAAUGGCUGCUAAUACCGCAUAAGCCCACGGCUCGGCAUCGAGCAGAGGGAAAAGGAGUAAUCCGCUUUGAGAUGGCCUCGCGUCCGAUUAGCUAGUUGGUGAGGUAACGGCCCACCAAGGCAACGAUCGGUAGCCGGACUGAGAGGUUGAACGGCCACAUUGGGACUGAGACACGGCCCAGACUCCUACGGGAGGCAGCAGUGGGGAAUCUUGCGCAAUGGGGGGAACCCUGACGCAGCGACGCCGCGUGCGGGACGGAGGCCUUCGGGUCGUAAACCGCUUUCAGCAGGGAAGAGUCAAGACUGUACCUGCAGAAGAAGCCCCGGCUAACUACGUGCCAGCCGCCGCGGUAAUUC